CAGAAUUGUUAAGAAGACGUUGUACUGUACCUACUCAUUUACCCAAAAUACCCGUCACGAGGGUUUAAAAAUCAAAACAAUUAACCCCAGGAAAAGGCUGAGCAUCCCCCAUUUUCCACAUUUUUCUCGGCUUUUUCAUUUCCAACUUUCAGCGGCCGGUCAUUGUUUUCUUCUCCUUUAAAGCCCUAAACCAUCUGCAUGUCAUUUCCCAUGUGGAUCCAAAGGAUUUUACAAACCCACUACGCCUUGUCUGAAAACCACCAAACCUGAGACUCCCCACGUUCUAAUACUUUAAAACUUUUCCUCACCUGUGCCUGUCGCCCUUAUCCAAUUGGUCUUUUCUCUUAUAAAUACUUCCCUCAUCUAUAUCUGCUUCUCCAUAGCUUCAACUUUCAAUAUCCAUUCAAAGUUCUCAUAACAAUUUUUCAUUUUCCAGGGUUUAAAUUAAAUAGAAGAGUUUAGAGAUGGCAGAUAUUGCUAUGCUUGUUGCUGAGGAGUAUGAAAGGAGGCAAAUUUGGGUCAGAAGGCGACGACUAAACUUGGGCAUCCAAGGGUUGAGACUGUCAAGUUGGCUGUAGAGCCAAAAAGCCAGAUUGGUGUUGCAGCUUUCAACGGAGCCUUCUCUGCUUGAUAACUUGUCACUUUCUUUCCUUAAAAUCAUUGCUCCAAAAAAAGCUGUAAAUUAAAAAUUCAUUUCAUUCUGUCUUUUGAUUUGUAAA